AACACAGACGAGUCUCCAUGGAGUCUGUGCUGAGCUGGGUUUUCCUUGUUGCUCUACUAAAAGGCGUCCAGUGUGAAGUGCAGCUGGUGGAGUCUGGAGGAGACUUGAGACAGCCUGGGGGGUCCCUGAGACUCUCCUGUGCAGUGUCUGGAUUCACCAUCAGUAAUUCUUAUAUGAACUGGGUCUGCCAGGCUGCAGGGAAGGGGCUGCAGUGGGUCUCACAUAUUACUAGUAGCGGUAGCACAUACUACGCAGACUCCGUGAAGGGCCGAUUCACCAUCUCCAGAGACAACGCCAAGAACACGCUGGAUCUGCAAAUGAACAGUCUGAAACUGAACUCUGUUUCCUCUGAGGACAUGACCAUGUUUUAG